rnacentral:rRNA from 1 species
AGGCCAUGCGAAGCGAACGCGGUGAACUGAAACAUCUAAGUAACCGCAGGAAAAGAAAUGAACCAAAGAUUCCCAAAGUAGUGGCGAGCGAAAUGGGAUGAGCUCUUGCACUCUUUAUUUGUAUUGUUAGCCGAACGCUCUGGAAAGUGCGGCCAUAGCGGGUGAUAGCCCCGUAGGCGAAAACAGUAUGAAAGAACUAGGUGUGCGACAAGUAGGGCGGGACACGUGAAAUCCUGUCUGAAGAUGGGGGGACCAUCCUCCAAGGCUAAAUACUCGUGAUCGACCGAUAGUGAACCAGUACCGUGAGGGAAAGGCGAAAAGAACCCCGGGAGGGGAGUGAAAUAGAUCCUGAAACCGCAUGCAUACAAACAGUCGGAGCCUCGUAAGGGGUGACGGCGUACCUUUUGUAUAAUGGGUCAGCGACUUACGUUCAGUAGCAAGCUUAACCGUAUAGGGCAGGCGUAGCGAAAGCGAGUCCGAAUAGGGCGUUCAGUUGCUGGGCGUAGACCCGAAACCAAGUGAUCUAUCCAUGGCCAGGAUGAAGGUGCGGUAACACGUACUGGAGGUCCGAACCCACUAACGUUGAAAAGUUAGGGGAUGAGCUGUGGAUAGGGGUGAAAGGCUAAACAAACUUGGAAAUAGCUGGUUCUCUCCGAAAACUAUUUAGGUAGUGCCUCGUGUCUCACCUUCGGGGGUAGAGCACUGUCAUGGUUGGGGGGGUCUAUUGCAGAUUACCCCGCCAUAGCAAACUCCGAAUACCGAAGAGUGCAAUCACGGGAGACAGACAUCGGGGUGCUAACGUCCGGUGUCAAGAGGGAAACAAACCCAGACCCGCCAGGCUAAGGUCCCAAAUAUAGGCUAAGUGGGGAAAACGGAAGUGGGAAGGCUAAAACAGUCAGGGAGGUUGGCUUAGAAAGCAGGCCACUCUUUUAAAGAAAAGGCGUUAAUAGCUUCACUGGAUCGGAAGUCGGUCCUUGGCGCGGGAAGGAUGGUACGGGGGGCAUAAGGCUUAUAAUACCGAAG